ensembl:lncRNA
AAGCUGGUCUGUUGACAUGUGAGCUCAUUAAGGCCAGGAAUACACCCACGGCACCUUUAGGACCUUCGAAAUAGCACUUCAACCAAACAAGACAAAGGUCCUCUCCUUCCACUCGCUGCAUUCAUGAUCUUCACCAGCGACGGCGUUGGCUCGGUCGUCAUGGAGAUGGAGCUGCUGAAGCUCAAGCGCAGCAGCUACCGAACAAGGAGCUGUCGUUUUGGAGAUCUCUCCUUCUGUCGGCUUGUCAGACCUUGAAUUGGGCUGAGGCAAACAAACAACAUGAUGAAAUUUCUGCGGAUGAUAUAUUGCCCGGUUGAUGUCAGUGUAUUAGAAGUGUGGUGUGGGGUUGAUUCCGCAAACAAAGCCAGAAUUGAUUCUCCUUAUUGAAAUCCGCCACGUAAUAUCUGAGGGGAUCCAUCUGGACCGCAAAGCUCUCUCGCCCUCUAUAAAUAAAAGCAGACUGAAGAGGGGAGAGCGGAGGAGAGGGGGGAAAAGGAAGGAAAACGGGAGCCUCCCCUGGAAAAGGGGGGAUCGACGUUGGAGAAGACGGAGGAGGAGGAACUUAAACAAUUUGGCCUGCUCGGUGGUGCUGAGACUUCGGCGCUGCCAGACGGCACCAUAUGAAGGCAUUAGCGAGACAAAACACCGCCUAACACCCAGUCCAACUUCCUAGGAUCAAUGAAGAGGCGUUGGCUGCGGUGCCUCUGCUCAGUCAGCCACUAACUCUCCUUCUGUCCAUCCAGUGAUCAUCACCAUGUGUGCACACUGUGGCCCCGGAGUUUGAUGAGGAUGAUUUUCCCGUAGAUGGGAUGAUUAAUGUUGCUGCUCUAAGAUGCUGAGUGAGAUUGAUGCUGCCCGCUAUCCCCUGCAUGCCUAAUCUUUCAUCCUUACAGUAAAUAUGACACAAUGUCCAUAUGCACGUGGAAACGGCCUGAUUACAAACAGCUUGCGAAGCCCUCGUCCCGUUUAAUGAUUACAUCCAAA